GGGCGCUUAGCUCAGUUGGCUAGAGCAUCUCGUUUACACCGAGAGGGUCGAGGGUUCGAGUCCCCCAGCGCCCACCA
rnacentral:tRNA from 1 species